rnacentral:lncRNA from 1 species
GUUCAACUCCCUCUUCUUGCCUGCAUGGAUACUGCUUACAUGUGAUACACUGAUAUGUAUAUAGGCAAAACCUCACAGAUAAAAGUAAAUAAGUCUCAAGGAAAAAGGAAAGUCAAGUUAAGCUUUGAUGAGGACCUGAUAUCAAUAACAUAAAAAUACCUGCCAGGUAUACUGGGACAUGCUUCUGUCCCCAGCACUGGUAAGGUUGAGGUGGGAGGGUUGCCCAUUCAAGGCCGACCUCAACUAUAUAAGGAGACCUUGUCUUUAAAAGCCAAACCACACACACAAGCACGCACGCACGCACGCACGCACACGCACGCAGCACGCACGCAUACGCACGCACGCAUACGCACACGCACGGUUGUAGAGACUGGAAAGAUUAUUCAGUGGGGUCCAGCUAUAAGGCAGCCAACAGCACCCUAUGGGCACUGCAGGUAUAUGGUGCCCAUAUAUGCAGCAAAACACUCGCAUACAUAAAAAUAAAAACUCAUGUUUAAGCACCCAGUUCAGAACAGGCCCAUUAAUCCUGAGCACAGGUGAGUAGGAAACACGUAAGGAGAGGAAAGUGGAGGGAGGGCUAAGUGUGAUUUCGCUUGCGUGGUAAACUCUGUGAUCCGCGCAGCCUAUGCCAGCAGCUUUCCCCAUCCCUAACUGGAGUGAGCAUGACUCCUGGUGUGUUAACCUGUGCUCUUUCAAAACAUACUAGGGUUGAGAGAUUAUCACACACACACCAAGUGACACACUAUUAAAUAAACAAGGGUGUUACCUUGGAUAAUGUUAGGGUAGUUCUUAUCAGGACCCUGAUUCUUUCUUUUAGAUAACUUUUUUUUUUUUUAAUUCAGGGUCUUUUAUUAUGUAGCCCUGACUGUCCUACCCUCAGUAGCCUGUUUGGAGUGACUUGGCUGAUGUUAGUAAAUUCUGGACUGUCCUGUGCUUGGCCCACUGUUAGAGAUGAAGCUGGUUUGAAGUGGUAAGGUUAGCAGAGCUUGCCCACCUCACUGGUGGCUCCUUUCUUCUUUCACACAAGCUUUCCUGUCUGCAUUGGGAGUGCAGGAGCAGGGUCUGAGGGGCGUGUACUGCCCUCUGCAUUGGUCCUAUAGCUAUUCAGGUUGCUUCCUGAGCGCCGCUAUUGGUGAUGUAAAUCCUGAUGCUUGCUUGCCUUCUGCCUCCUGCCUGUAAAUCUUAACAGGGCAAAGAUAUCAAGAAAACAUG